AACGAACGCUGGCGGCAUGCCUAACACAUGCAAGUCGAACGAAGUCUUCGGACUUAGUGGCGCACGGGUGCGUAACGCGUGGGAAUCUGCCCUUGGGUGCGGAAUAACUUCUCGAAAGGGAUGCUAAUACCGCAUAAUGUCGUAAGACCAAAGAUUUAUCGCCCAAGGAUGAGCCCGCGUAAGAUUAGCUAGUUGGUGGGGUAAAAGCCUACCAAGGCGACGAUCUUUAGCUGGUCUGAGAGGAUGAUCAGCCACACUGGGACUGAGACACGGCCCAGACUCCUACGGGAGGCAGCAGUGGGGAAUAUUGGACAAUGGGCGAAAGCCUGAUCCAGCAAUGCCGCGUGAGUGAUGAAGGCCCUAGGGUUGUAAAGCUCUUUUACCAGGGAUGAUAAUGACAGUACCUGGAGAAUAAGCUCCGGCUAACUCCGUGCCAGCAGCC
rnacentral:rRNA from 1 species